rnacentral:lncRNA from 1 species
ACUCCCCAAGAGUCACACAUCUAGUCAGUGACUGAGACCAGAUUUGAACUGGGGGAGCUGAGUCUUCCUGUCUCCAGGACCAGCACUCAAUCCACUGUGCCAUCUAGCUGCUCCUACUUGAACUACAAUGAACCAUUUGAACAUUACCCCCUUUUGUCUUCUUUCUUAUAGAAGAUUUUUCAUCCAAAGUGGAGAAUGGAAUCUGGAGGCUUAUCCUGUCCCUUCUCAGAGUAGCAUCAUGCCCCCAGCCCUGUUAACCAGAUGCCUCUGGAUUUCAGAUGCCCUCAAAGAGGUAAAAAGAUGCAAAAUAAGACUGGCUGGCCAUGCUGCAGGCUGUUCGACCUCACAUGAAGAAAAAAAUGGCGGAGCACUAGAGCUUUGGUUCCUGCCCACGCCCUCAGGGGAGAGAAAUUAUAAGGCAUGCAAAAGGACAAGAAGCAAGACAAGAAGCUGUCAAUCAAAGGAAGAUUCCAUUUGGAAUAUGAUUGGGAUGUUGAAGGCAAGAGCCAACUGCUGACUUUUUCUGGGCUUCUUGGAUGAUGGUGGUGACUUUGGAGGAUGAAGCUGAGUUUAUCUCUGGGACUUGGGGUAAUCAAGUUUAGGAGGUGGCCUGGCUGAUUUGAAGGCAGAAGAAGGACAAUAGUCCAUAUAUCUCUCUCUGACUUGCUGUGUUUCAUCUAAGUGAUUUAAUUGACAUUUCUCUCAAUAUCCUCCAACCUAAGAUUCACUGUAGAUAAUAGGGAAAUCCCAAACCACUUGCCUCCAUCCUCCAUCUUGUCCUGUUUUUCCCAAUAAAUCCUUACUUGAGAUAAAGAAGAGAAAAGAG